rnacentral:rRNA from 1 species
UACGGGGGGGGCAAGCGUUGUUCGGAAUUACUGGGCGUAAAGGGCUCGUAGGCGGCCAACUAAGUCCGACGUGAAAUCCCUCGGCUUAACCGGGGAACUGCGUCUGAUACUGGAUGGCUUGAAUCCGGGAGAGGGAUGCGGAAUUCCAGGUGUAGCGGUGAGAUGCGUAGAUAUCUGGAGGAACACCGGUGGCGAAGGCGGCAUCCUGGACCGGCAUUGACGCUGAGGAGCGAAAGCCAGGGGAGCAAACGGG